UAAUUUACAUCUCAUUUGGUUCUCAGAACACAAUCAGUGCAACCCAAAUGAUGGAAUUGACUGUUGGGUUGGAAGAAAUCGGAAAGCCUUUUGUUUGGGUCAUAAGGCCUCCGGUGGGGUUUGAUGUGAAGGGAGACUUCAAAGCAGAGUGGCUGCCUGACGGGUUUGAGGAAAGAAUGAGUAAACGAAAACAGGGGUUGCUAGUGCACAACUGGGCACCCCAGUUGGAGAUUUUGUCAUACAAAUCCACUGGGUUUUUUGUGAGCCAUUGCGGGUGGAAUUCAGUGAUGGAGAGCUUGAGCCAGGGCGUGCCGAUUGUGGGGUGGCCGUUGGCGGCGGAGCAGGCUUACAAUUCGUAGAUGUUGGUGGAGGAGAUGGGUGUGAGUGUGGAGCUGACAAGGGGUGUGCAGAGUUACAUUGGAUGGAAGGAGGUGAAGGAGGUGAUUGAUUUGGUGAUGGAUGAGAGUGGGAAGGGAGGGGGAUGAGGAAAAAUGCCGGUGAGAUUAAGGAGAAAUUAAGAAGAUCAAUUAGAGAUAAUGAUGGUGAUCAAGGAAAGGAGAAGGGGUCUCCUGUCAAGGCCAUGGAGGAUUUUGUGGCUGCUCUUUUAUCAAAGAAACAAGAUUGAUCAAAAGUUAAUUAGAGGUGAUUAGGUUACUGGUAAUUUCAACUCAAUUGAGAAAUUCCUAUUGUUUGCAAAUGGAUAGGUUUUGAUUCAAAAGACGUUAAUCAAUGUUUGAUACUCUAGAAAGUUAUUUUGCUUUUGUUAUCUAUGAAAACUCGGAAAAGAACCAUACAUAAAAUGCCAAAGCCUAUUGGUCGAAAUGCCCCUAAAAUUACUAUUGAGUUUUAGUUUACCCGCUAAAACUGGUCUUAUCUCACUUUACCUCCUGAAAAUGACAUUUUCAACUCUUUUGUCUCACUUUACCCACUUUCAUUAAUGGACUGUUAAAUUUAAGGGUAUUUUAGACAUUUCAAUUUUUACACAUUUAUUUACCUUUAGCCCCCACACUAAACAAGUCUCAAUUUUAUUUUUGACAACUCUAAUUCAAACGUAUAGAUUUUGAGCAUUUAAAAAAAAAAAUUAUUCUUGAGAAAAAUUUCAAUCAACAAAAUCAUUCUAUCAACCAAAAUAAAGUUUACACUUGUUCGUAGAGUCAUUUCAUUUGUAAAGCAUCCAUGUAUUGGCUCGAAACUUUGCAACUGAAAAAUAUUCAUUACAACAAAAUCAUUAUGCAUUUAAGCUGACCUAUCCAAAAUACUUCUCAAACCAAAAAAGUAAUUUCAAGCAAAUGUGCACAGUUUGAACAAGCUCAUGCCUAGUGGAAUCAGUGCUCAACAAUGUGAAAUUUUUUUGUUUAAACUGUGCAAAUUUGCUUUAAAUGAUUUUUUUGGUUUGGGAAGUAUUUUGGAUAGGAUAGCUUAAUGGUAUAAUGAUUUUGUUGUAAUGAAUAUUUUUCAAUUACAAAGUUUCGAGCCAAUACAUGGAUGUCUUGCAAAUGAAAUGAUUAUACGAACAAAAUGUAACCCUUAUUUUGGUUGAUACAAUAAUUUUGUUGCUCAGAAUUUUUUUAUUGAUUGAAUAAUUUAUUUUCAAAAAUGCCCAAAAUUGAUGCGUUUGAUUUAGAGUUGUCAAAAAUAAAUUUGAGACUUGUUUUAGUGUGGGGGCUAGAGGUAAAUAAAUGUGUAAAAACUAAAAUGUCUAAAAUACCCUUAAAUUUAAUAGUUCAUUAACGAAGUGGCUAAAGUGAGAUAAAAGAGUUGAAAAUGUCAGUUUAAGGGGGCAAAGUGAGACAAAACCAGUUUCAGAGGAUAAACUGAGACUCAAUGGCAGUUUUAGGGGGCAUUUCAACUAAUAAGCCAAAUGCGAAUGAUAUUUUUAAAGUGUUAAUAACAUUUAGGAUUCACACAGAAAAAUUAAUGAAAAACAAGGUGCAAAAUUGAAUGCAGUGACAUUUUAGAAUUCAUGUGGCUAACACCACUUAAUGGCAUAAGACUUUGUUGUUAUUGUUGUUUGUUGAUAACAUCUUUUUAUUAUGGAUGAUGCUAGAGAAACUAAUGCUUUAAAUCAUUUUUUGUAAAACCCAUGAUGUGACGAUUGAUGGUUGAACUCUUUUUAUAACCAUUUUUGGCUUGCAAAGGGAUAGGUUUUGUUUCAAAAGAUGUUAGGGGUGAGAGAGUUGUAAUUGCUUCAAUUUCUCACCCUCUCUUCAGUCUUCUCCACCCUCUUCAAGAGUUUCUCCCUCCGAUUGCUGUUUUAAGAGUCGACGGCCGGGGCAUUUUCUUUUUACUUUAUGUGUUCAUUUAUCAUCCUAGUCCCCAUCUUGCACCCCUUUUCCCUCAACCCCAGACCUUCCAUAUUUCCACCACCAACCUACAUAUCCGUCCAUUUCAAUCAUUUUCUUCCCUACCAUCUUCCUUUUCCCUUAACCAAACAGCAGGUCUUAAAUUUUUGGGUUGCCUUCUAUUUGAUGAUUUUAUUGGUUGUUUUUACAUUUGGGACUAUCGCUUUUGAUGCCUUCUUGUUUCUGUUUACUGUUGGUGCCGUUCUUCGACCUUACCACAUUUGUGGAUUUCACAUCUUCGGUGGUGGGUUUAGUCAAGGGUCUCAUUUGACCCAUCCUUUGAUCGAUUGAGGAUGACGCCGGUUGUUGGCCCAUGUUGGAUGCUACAACACCAUCCUUUCCAGAUCUAUUGUCGAGGCUUCGGUCUCUUCUUUGAUGCUCGGGGUUUCUUGCGGCGGCUGUGGCAGGAAGGUUGCUGAAGUUGUCAGGGUUUUUGUGUGUUUUGGUUUUUUUUCUGUUGUGGGCUCCAAUGUCUGUAUUGGGCUCUUACAUUUGUUUAUAUGGAGGGUCCAACCUAAUGUCUUGUGUUUAAUUUUGUAUUUGGGCUUUCUUUACUGUAAUAUUUCUUUGUUAAAAGUACAAAGAAAAGCCUGCACAUGGCUAAUGGUUGGUUUGGUAUUGAUGUGCUUUGAAAAAAAACUGUUUCUGUUGUACUGUGAGAAUAAGCUCAUUUUUGCUGCUUCACGUUUUCAGCCUUUUUUCACCAAAAAUUGUGAAAAUAAGCUGUUUUUAAGUGUUAAUCAAACAUCUUUUUCAGCUCAAUUUUUUUUGAUAUCCAUUUUUUAUAAAAACACCUCAGUACCAAACCAGUAUUAAGAGGGUAGGGUUAAAACUUGGAACAAAUGCCCUCACAUUAUGUUCACAUGUGUAAGCUACAUAUCUAAACUUGUGAAAAUUGAAUCUAUAUGAAUUAAAGUGGAACUUUAUUCAACGUAAAAAUCGACCUUUCACUUUAAGGCACCUUAGUAAUUAUAAGGGGUGUGCUAUCCACACAUCCCAUUUUACUUCUCACACAUCUCUUGAUAAUUUUUGUCCGUUGAUUUUCUUCAUUUCAUCCGAUUCGACGGUUGAAAAUAAAAAAAUGUGUGAAAAGUAAAAUGAAUAAUGCUUUUACGAGUCACACACCCCUAAUUAUAAUGCUUAUACACUCGUAAAUUUCUAAACUAUAAUUUUGUUUCACUCCACUCUUAUCCCGUUUGGUAAACAUACCAUUAGAAAACUAAUUUCAAAUUGCGACGUUGAAGAUAGAAGAUGAAAUAUUCAUUCUCGAAAGUUAUCACUUAAAAGUCUACAAUUAUCUGCGACGUACGCAACGCAAUCUUAGAAAUGGAAGAGCAUGCAUCACAUUGAAGCAGAACUGAACUACAAACCAAAAUAUAUAAUUAGUUUCAACGUGACUCACAACCUUGCUCUUUUUGUUUAUACAGCAGACCUAUUUAGGGAAAUAAUGUAUCUGGUCGGUCGGGUGCAUACUGCAUUGGCUUCCAACUUCUAACGUGGCAAUGUCGGUCAGUAUCACAAUAUGUCAGGAUAUUUGUGAUGCCAUUUCCUCCACGUCGGUCCGUUUUUUUGCACAAACUAGAUGUCAAUCAAAUCCAAGUCUGUAUUGCUUUUGCUUGCAUAACCCAACUUUUGUUUUAGUUCCCCACCAACGCAUAUUGAUUUGUUAAAAUUCCCUUCGAAAAUAAGGUAAAUGAAUGAAUUAAAGAAAAAUAUAUUUUUUCAAGAAUAGUAAGAAUUUUUUUUUAAAAUAAGACUCUUAAUAGAUUAUCUCACAGUUUAACGUUAAUUUUCAUAUCAACAUUAUAACACAUUGCAUCAAAAUAUAAGUUAACAAAUAGUUCAUAGAGAGUCAUUUUUCGGAUCAACCUCCUUAACAUUUUACUUGAUAAAAGUAUUAAAUUACCUGAUAAUCAAGAAUUCUAAAAACAGAAAAUAACUAAUAAUGUAAUAAGAAUAUCAUUUUACUUGAUAAAAGUAUUAAAUUACCUGCUAAUCAAGAAUACUAAAAAUAGAAAAUAACUAAUAAUGUAAUAAGAAUAUCUGUUCCAUGAUGGAACAAGUAUAAGAUUUUUAUUUUUUAUUCAUGAUAUUUUUGGCAUUUUUGGUUAUUCAAAUUAAUCUAGUGCAGCAAGUAGUAGAUUAUUUUAGUUGUUCAACAUCAUGUCUCAGAUUCAAAUUCCUUUUCUAAGAUAGUAAUAUCACUCGUACUAAAAUAUAAUUAAUUUAGUGUAAACAAUAAUGUUAGAUAAAUCAAUUUUUAAGACUAAAUAUGUAAAUCAUGUGAUGUGUCAUCAAUAAGAAAUAAACACAUUAAUCAACACUUAAGUAAUAAUCAAAUUAACAACUACGUCAUAUAAAUUCCAAAUUUAGUUAAAAUAGUCGAUAUUUCUAGUAUUAUUCUAACGUAAAACAUCGUUAGAUUAAAAUGUAACAAAAAUGUAUAUUAUCAAUGAUACGAUAAUUUUUUUAUUAUGAUCGGAACACGAGUAAUAUUCCACAUAUUUUUAUAUAAGUGGUGGUUAAUUUUAUUUUUUAAGUUAUUAACUUUUUAACACACAUAUCCUACAAUUUAUAUAAUAACACAUAAUAUAACACCAUUGUUCCUAUCAUACUGGAAAAUAUCUCCAAUGAUACAUCCAAACAACAAAAAUCCCAAAAACCAAAAUAAAAUGGGAUUUUUGUUGAGAGCAUAUAAUUCAUUCGGUUCUGCCAUUCAAUUCCAUUCCAUUCAUAUGAUAUAUAUAUAUACAUGGUUUAAAAUAUCCAUAAUAUCUCGAUAUUUCCAUCGAAAUUUCCGUGUUUUUGGACUACCGAUAUUUCCGAUAUCAUCGAUAUUUUAGACCUUACUAAGUUACUCAUGUAUCUUACCAUACAAUGUAUAAAGUGUAAAAUAUUGUACUAAUUCAUUAUAUAUAAAUGAUUAUGGUGUGUUUAAACUUUUUUGAUUAGUUACUACAUAUUUUCUACCCUCAUAAUGUUUGCUAGCUUACUAUAUAAUCAACUUAAAUCAGUUAUAUCUAUCAUGCAAUGCAUUUCCUUCCAAUUUUUUUGUGAUAACUAAUAGAUAAUUGACUAAAUAAACAUCCUGCAAAGUUUCAAUAAAAAUUUUCAAGUUUUUCUUACAUUUUCCGUAGUUUUUAUUUAAUUUUUAUCGAUAUCGAUAAUAUCCCGAUAUUUCCAUCAAAAUUUCUGUGUUUUUAAACUACCGAUAUUUCCGAUAUUAUCGAUACUUUAUACCUUAUAUAUAUACAUAUAUGCUCAUUGCUAAACCUCUCACCCUUACCGACCUCUGAAAAAUAGCAUACAUUCUUUUUCUGCCUCCUCCUCCUCACCAUUACAGAUAACUCACAAAAUCCUCAGGAUAAAAAUAUGGGGUUUGAGAGAGAGCAUAUUGUGAUGCUGCCGUUCAUGGCGCAAGGCCAUAUCAUACCAUUCCUAGCACUUGCAAAGCAAAUCCAGGAGUUAACAAACUUCACAAUCACCAUCGCCACCACCCCUCUCAACAUCAAAUCCCUCCAAUCCACCAUUUCCACCGCCUCAUCCAAUCACAACAACAUCCACUUGGCCGAACUUCCCUUCUGCAGCUCAGACCACGACCUGCCCCCCAACACAGAAACCACCGAGAACCUCCCCUUCCCCAAAAUCAUCAACCUUUUCGCCGCUUCAGUCGCCCUUGAACCUCCAUCCCGCCGCCUUAUCUCCGAUAUCAUCGAAAAAGAAGGCCGCCCGCCGCUCUGUUUGAUCUCCGAUGUUUUCUUCGGAUGGGCUACUGAUCUUGCAAACAGCUUAGGCACUGUCAAUGUGAGUUUCACCACAGGCGGGGCUUACGGCUCUGCAGCCUACACAUCAAUAUGGCUCAACCUGCCUCACCGCUCCGCAAGCAACGAAUACUUCACCCUCCCCGGCUUCCCGGAACGCUGCAGGUUCCACAUCUCUCAGCUGCAUCCGUUUCUAAGAGCUGCAGACGGCACAGAUUCUUGGUCAAGAUUUUUCCAGCCUCAGAUUUCGGGUUCUACAAAAUCUUUUGGUUGGCUGUGUAAUACUGUGGAGGAAAUUGAGCCGUUGGGAUUGGAUAUCUUGAGGGAUUACUUGAAGCUUCCUGUUUGGUGCAUUGGUCCUCUAAUUCCUACUGAUGCACUCAAAAACUCAUCCACAUUGGACUUAAAGGUCUCGAGGCAGCGCGCCGGAAAAGAAAUGGGCUUUUCGGCCGAGAAAUGCCUCGAGUGGCUUGACUUGCAAGGUCCGAAUUCUGUAAUUUACAUCUCAUUUGGUUCUCAGAACACAAUCAGUGCAACCCAAAUGAAGGAAUUGGCUGUUGGGUUGGAAGAAAGCGGAAAACCUUUCGUUUGGGUGAUAAGGCCUCCGGUGGGGUUUGAUCUGAAGGGAGAGUUCAGAGCAGAGUGGCUGCCUCAUGGAUUUGAGGAGAGAAUGAGUAAACGAAAACAGGGGUUGCUAGUGCACAACUGGGCACCCCAGUUGGAGAUUUUGUCACACAAAUCCAUAGGGCUUUUUGUGAGCCAUUGUGGGUGGAAUUCAGUGAUGGAGAGCUUGAGCCAGGGCGUGCCGAUUGUUGGGUGGCCGUUGGCGGCGGAGCAGGCCUAUAAUUCGAAGAUGUUGGUGGAGGAGAUGGGUGUGAGCGUGGAGCUGACAAGGGGUGUGCAGAGUAAUAUUGGAUGGAAAGAGGUGAAGGAGGUGAUUGAUUUGGUGAUGGAUGAGAGUGGGAAGGGAGGGGAGAUGAGGAAGAAUGCUGGUGAGAUUAAGGUGAAGAUAAGAAGAUCAAUUAGAGAUGAUGAUGGUGAUCAAGGAAAGGAGAAGGGGUCAUCUGUCAAGGCAAUGGAGGAUUUCGUCGCUGCUCUUUUAUCAAAGAAACAAGAUUUGUCAAAAAUUAAUUAGUGGUGAUUGUGUUACUAGUAAUUUAUUAACUAGUUUCUGUAUUGAAAUUGAAAUAAUAACAUUGUGACUUUCCUAUAUGGUCAAUGUUUGCCACUUUGAAAAGUUAUUAUGCUUUUGUUAUAUCUGGGAAAAUAUGGACAUGAACUAUACAUAAAAUGCCAAUGAUAUUUUUAAAGCUUUAAUAGCAUCUAGGACCAACAACAACAACAACAAAGUCUUUUCCCACUAAGUGGAGUCGGCUAUAUGAAUCCUAGAACGCCAUUGCGCUCGGUUUUGUGUCAUGUCCUCCGUUAGAUCCAAGUACUCUAAGUUUUUUCUUAGAGUCUCUUCCAAAGUUUUCCUAGGUCUUCCUCUACCCCUUCGGCCCUGAACCUCUGUCCCGUAGUCACAUCUUCGAACCGGAGCGUCAGUAGGCCUUCUUUGUACAUGUCCAAAUCACCGGAACCGAUUUUCUCUCAUCUUUCCUUCAAUUUCGGCUACUCAUACUUUACCUCGGAUACCCUUAUUCCCAAUCUUAUCCUUUCUUGUGUGCCCACACAUCCCACGAAGCAUCCUCAUCUCUGCUACACCCAUUUUGUGUACGUGUUGAUGCUUCACCGCCCAACAUUUUGUGCCAUACAACAUCGCUGGCCUUAUUGCCGUCCUAUAAAAUUUUCCCUUGAGCUUCAGUGGCCUACGACGAUCACACAACACGCCAGAUGCACUCUUACACUUCAUCCAUCCAGCUUGUAUUCUAUGGUUGAGAUCUCCAUCUAAUUCUCCGUUCUCUUGCAAGAUAGAUCCUAAGUAGCGAACGGUCGCUUUUUGUGAUAUUCGCUAGAUUGCUCCGGUCAUUAGUGUGGAUAAGUAUAUAAAUGGAUAGAGAUAGGAAAGCAAACACAAGAUGUACGUGGUUCACCCAGAUUGGCUACCUCUACGGAAUAGAGGAGUUCUCAUUAAUUGUGAAGGGUUUACACAACUACAUAGGUUCAAGCUCUCCUUUAGUGAGUACAAGUGAAUGAUUUAGUACAAAUGACAUUAGGAAAUAUUGUGGGAGAAUGAUCUCGUAAUCACGAAACUUCUAAGUAUCGGAGUGUGGUAUCGUCUUGACUUGCCUUAUCUGUCUCAUAGGUAGAUGUGGCAUCUUCUCUGGAAGUACUCUUCCUCCAUCCAGGGGUGGUAUCUUUAACUGGUGGAGAUGCACAAGGUAAUGUAUCAAUUUCACUUGAAGCUUACUUGUAGUUUCAGGCUUGGUCAAGUGCGAUACAAACCAUGUAGUAGGAGUCCCCCAAGUCGCCGAGCUAGGGGAUCUGCUGAAAGAGGUGACAGACAAGGUAAGUAAUCAGAGCUCCGGCUGAUUGUUCACAUUCUCCCUAUCUUGCAGGCAGCAUGAAGGAUAAAGAGAAGAAAAAUGAGAAGAGAUGAUAUGGGAUACUUUUGCUUUUGAGGAAAUAACUUUCCACAGGCUUAUUCUUGAACUGAGCUGGAGGGUUUUUUGGUUUCCUCCAGAGUAUAAGGCCAACUGAAGAAUUUGAGGGUCAAAACAAGUCCAUCAAAUCUAGAGUACGUUCGACCCUGCUGAUAUGGGAUACUUUUGCUUUUUGACAAAGUAGUGGAUGUAUCGGCACGUGUGCUGUUACGCUUGUCUCCACAUGCUUCCUUGUAUCCUUCUCACUUGCCCUAUAUGUUCCUCAGGCAGAUGCGGUAUUUUCCCUGGAAGCAUAAGAUGUUGAAGAUGAGUACUCGAGAGCAAUGCUAGGUAAGUAAUCAGGUAAGGGGUUCCAGGCAGUCAGUUCCUGGCUGGAAUCUUGAUUCCAAGUGCUGACUGAUUGCUCUCUUUCUCCUUGUCUUGCAUGUAAGAACAAGGCCAAAGGAAAAGACAGGGAAAAAGCAUGAUAUGAGAUACUUUUGCUUUUAACCCUGAUGAUAUGAAAUAUUCUUGCUCUAGUAUAGCUUGUUUGCAGAGGUAUUAUCGGGGGGAAAGAAAACUGAAGAUUUCGAAAGGCUUCGUUGGGAGUGCCCUCUCAGAUAUGAGGAAGGGUUGAGCAUUUUUGCAGGUCUGCCUGUCCGUUGGGGAUGGAGGUCGACAUAUAUAGGAGUCUCCCUAACAACAAGUAGUAAUGCUAUUCCUUUACCCUGCUUGGUCAUAGCACGGUAGUGGGAGCUGCCAGCUUCACAUGUUUUAACUCUGUCAGAGCACUUUGAAAAAGUGGUCUAUGGUAUCUGGAAAGCUGAUGUUGCGUGUGAAGAUUACAAACAAACUUUAUCCAAGGAGAUCCGGCUCUUGAAGUUGGGAAAACGGUGCCUCUUCGAUUUUCGAACAAGCAAUCCUAUCGGGGAUCUGGCUCUCGAGAUUCGGAGAACGAUGCCUCUUCGGUUUUUUAGAAAGCAAUCUUGUUGGGAGUGUUUUCUUGAAUGUGAGUAAAGGUUGGGCAUGUUUGCUAGUCUACCUUGCCAUGAAGCAUAGAGGUUGACACACAGGGACUUUCCAAUUAUCCAGCAAUGGUACUGUUCCUUUACCCUCUCUUCGAUUUUUGAGAAAGUAGUCAUGUUGGGAGUCUGGCUCUCGAGAUUCAGAGGACGGUGCUUCUUCGAUUUUGGAGCAAGCAAUCUUGUUAGGAGUGUUUUCUCUAAUGUGAGUAAAGGUUGGGCAUGUUUGCUAGUCUACCUUGCCACGAAGCACAGAGGUUGACACACAGGGACUUUCCAAUUAUCCAGCAGUGGUACUGUUCCUUUACCCUUGUGGGUAAUAAUAUGGUAGCUAGACCUUCAAAAUUUAUGUGUCUAAACUUUGUUAGUGCUGUUUCUUUGCUAUUCUUUUACCCUUCUUGGUCAGAGCGAUGUAGUGGGAGCUGCAAGCUUCACGUGUCUCAACUUUGGCAGAGAACUUUGACAAAGUUAUCUGUGGUACCCAUGAGCUACUGUUGCGUGUGGGAAGUGGAUGAUUGAACAGUAAGAUUCAUGUGCUUUCUACUUCACCAGAAGUCUUCGACAGAAUGCCCAUAAUUUCCGCAAAGCUGAGUGUGCGUGUGACAGGUGCUAACAAGGUUGGAAAAGUAGGUGCCUCUUCGAUUUCUGAGAUCGGCCUCGUGGUCUCUGAGCAGCUCAGCUUUUGAGAAAGCAAGCGCCUCUUCGAUUUCUGAGAUCGGCCUUCAUGGUCUUUGAGCAGCCCAGCUUUUGAGAAAGCAAACGCCUCUUCGAUUUCUGAGAUCGACCCUCGUGGUCUCUGAACAGCCCAGCUUUUGAGAAAGCAAACGCCUCUUCGAUUUCUGAGCAGGCGCCUCUUCGAUUUCUGAAGCUCCGUCGAGUGCAGAUUUUUAUAGGGGUUGGCAUUAAGUUCCAAAGCACACUUAAAUCUCCACCAGUAGAAGCUCCAUUCUUGCACUUCUAAGAUCUUGAUUUGUCCGACCUCUUCUCUCUUCAACACCUUUGAAAAUGUCUGGCCCCUCCGACCGUCGUUUUGACUUGAACCUUGUUGAAAAGGCAGCACCGCCUUCUCCAGACAACAUAUGGUGCCCAUCCUUCGUCUCCCCUACUAGUCCUCUUACCGUUGGGGAUUCCGUCAUGAAGAAUGAUAUGACCGCUGCGGUGGUGGCCAGGAACCUUCUCACUCCCAAAGAUAACAGACUACUUUCCAAACGGUCUGAUGAAUUAGCUGUUAAGGAUUCUCUGGCUCUCAGUGUUCAGUGUGCAGUUUCUGUGUCUAAUAUGGCCCAACACCUAUUUGCUCGAACCCGCCAAGUUGAAUCAUUGGCGGCUGAAGUGAUGAGUCUCAAAUAGGAGAUUAGAGGGCUCAAGCAUGAGAAUAAACAGUUGCACCGGCUCGCACAUGACUAUGCUUCAAACAUGAAGAGGAAGCUUGACCAGAUGAAGGAAUCUGAUGGUCAGGUUUUACUUGAUCAUCAGAGAUUUGUGGGUUUGUUCCAAAGACAUUUAUUGCCUUCGUCUUCUGGGGCUGUACCGCGUAAUGAAGCUCCAAAUGAUCAACCUCUGAUGCCUCCUCCUUCUAGGGUUCUGUCCAGUACUGAGGCUCUGAAUGAUCCCCCUCCGGUGCCUUCUCUUUCUGGGGCUCUACCGACUGCUGAGACUUCUCCUAAGCAACCUUUGUGAAGGCUCCCUCUUGUUUGUUUAUUUUGACUCAUGUAUAUGUACAUAUUUGUAACUUAUCGGGGAUAUCAAUAAAUAAGAUUUCCUUCAUUUCAACGUAUUGUGUUAAAUACACCAAAGUCUUCUUCGCUAAGUUCUUUGAAUUUUCUUUUGUUGAAGCUUGUAUGUUGAAGCUUUAUGAGUGGAGCAUGUAGGUUGAGGUAGUGUUCCCUUAAUUUCCCGAGUGAGGAAAACUUCUCGGUUGGAGACUUGGAAAAUCCAAGUCACUGAGUGGGAUCGGCUAUAUGAAUCUUAGAACGCCAUUGUGCUCGGUCAUGUGUCAUGUCCUUCGUUAGAUCCAAGUACUCCAAGUCUUUUCUUAGAGUCUCUUCCAAAGUUUUCCUAGGUCUUCCUCUACCCAUUUGGCCCUGAACCUCUGUCCCAUAGUCAAAUCUUCUAAUCGGAGCGUCAGUAGGCCUUCUUUGCACAUGUCCAAACCACCGUAACCGAUUUUCUCUCAUCUUUCCUUCAAUUUCGGCUACUCCUACUUUACCCCGGAUAUCCUCAUUCCUAAUCUUAUCCUUUCUCGUGUGCCCACACAUCCAACGAAGCAUCCUCAUCUCCGCUACACCCAUUUUGUGUAUGUGUUGAUGCUUCACCUCCCAACAUUUUGUGCCAUACAGCAUCGCCGGCCUUAUUGCCGUCCUAUAAAAUUUUCCCUUGAGCUUCAGUGGCAUACGGCGGUCACACAACACGCCGGAUGCACUCUUCCACUUCAUCCAUCCAGCUUGUAUUCUAUGGUUGAGAUCUCCAUCUAAUUCUCCGUUCUUUUGCAAGAUAGAUUCUAGGUAACGAAAACGGUCGCUCUUUGGUAUUUCUUGAUCUCCGAUCCUCACCCCUAACUCGUUUUGGCCUCCAUUUGCACUGAACUUGCACUCCAUAUAUUCUGUCUUUGAUUUAGGGUUCUGUCCCAUACAAAAAAAAAUAAAAAAAUAAAAAAUAAAAAGCGCUAACCGAAGACUUUGCUAAAAAACGAAGGAUUCAUGCGGGUGACACCACUUAAUAAGAUAAGGUUUUGUUGUUUGUUAAUAACAUCUUCUUUUUCUUUAUGAGUGAUAAUAGAGAGAUUAACUUUUUAGAUUAUCUUUUGUAAAAAAUAUGAUGUGGCGAUUAAUAGUUGAACUCUUUCUUGUUUAUCAAUAAAUUUUCCUGAAAGUCACUUUCUAUGAUAACAAUGCUGGAAUGGGAUGGACUUUGUGGCCAAAUUGAAAAGAAAUUUUUUUUACAAAAAGAGUUCAACCAUCUGUCAUAUUAUGAAAUCUACAAAAAAAUAAUCGAAAACAUUUAAUCUUUUUAACAUUUUCCUUUUGUUAUUAGUGUAACAUCUCAAGUUUGAUGAUUCUCUAAAAAUACGUGUGAGCUACAUGUCUAAAUUUGUGAAAAUUGAUUGGAAUAGUUUUCCCUCUCUAGUGAGAGUCUUUCUCGGUUUUAGGGAUUUUUUCUCAUCCCUUUGUGUGAGGCCUCUAAAUUGAGCAAAACUGGUGGCGAGGAUCCUAACUUUGGCCGAGGUCGGUUGCCGUCCUCCCCUUUCUUUCCUUCUUGUAUUUUUUCCUUGCUUUUACUAUUUUUUCACCUUGGUUGUUAUACUUAUAUGUCCUGCUUCUCUUUUCCAGACAGUAUCUAUCCUUUGUGUUCAUCCAUAUUCCGAUUUUCAGUCAUACAACCUACUGAGAUUGUGUGUAGAGCUCUAGUUAUUUCACUGGCUCGAGUGUUUCGAACACGUUCGUGGAUCUCCACGGACUUAUCUUGAUAGUUGGCUUCUCUCGUUUGGUUGAUGGCUAUCCUUACUUUAUGACUGUGCUUCGGAAACAGAUUGGAGUUGGAUGUGACAUUUGGUGAGGUGUUGCUUGGCUGUGGAAGAGGAAUUGGACAGAUUGGGAUGAUCUUUGGCUGCGGAGGAAACGGUAGAAAUUUCUAGGCUCGGUGUUCGUGUUUUGCUUUUUCGGCCUAAUUGUAUCUUACCUCUUGUAGUGUGUUGUUCUGUUUUGGCCCCCUUUAUUUAUGUUAAUAUGUUAGCUUUGGGCUUUGUCUGUCUGUAAAAAAAAUUUAUUUUGUAAUAAAAAGUACUUAAAAAAAAAACUUGUGAAAAUUGAAGCUAUAUGAAUUAAAGUGGAUCUUUUUUUUUUUUUUUUUUUUUUUGUAAGAAAACAAACUUAGUUAAGAUAAGGGGAGAAUUACAAAUGUGACUGAUGGACUAAGUCCAAACAAAAUACAAAACCCUUAAAAAGCAAAGACAGAUAUAAUAAAAGAGUAAAAAGGCUCAAGCAAUAGGAGAAUUACAACCUAAGAUACAAUGGGAGACCCACACAAACUUAGGUCCAGAUGCAGCAAAAACAAAGAACAAUAGAGAAACCCUAAAAGUGAUAAUAACUGUAACCAUUUGAUCAAAUUUCAACAAUUCAGAUUCCGAACUAGGUUGAUUAGGUAGAAAGGGAUCCGAGGAUCCCUUUCCAAUACAUAAAAUGCUGAACUAUUUUGUUUUACAGCUAAUUAACAUGAAGUUUUCUCAAAAAGUUGUUAUCCCAAACCAAUUGGGCACUCUCUCCCUCUUUCCCUUCAACUCACUCUAAUUUAAUAAAAAGGGCAUUACUUGAUUCAUGUCCACUCCAUGCAACUGUAAAGCUGGCAUCUUUGGGCCUCGUUUGGUAUACGUGAGUGAAUAUGCUGAGGCGAUUAAACACUUGAACCCAGGGCUUUUGGUUCACCAAGGGCUUAUAUAAGAGGGAUGCGUACUUUUUAUAAAUGGUUGGACACGAAAGAGAAGAAAAAAAAGACUAUUUCCUAACGCUUUUUGUAACCUUUAUUCAAUAUAUACGGCAUCUCAAUGAACGUAACCAAGUUUUUUAGAGUGACCCACUUAAUCUAAUCCGUGUUGUUAGAUUUCUAUUGCUUUUACCCUGAGCCCACCAAACCACAGUGACCUUUGUUAACCUCCAAAUUUUGGCAUAACUGUGUCUAUUUUUGCUAUUGAAUGAAUAUGCCCAGUGUAGUUUUUAGUGAGGUUUUUUUUAGUUUAUCCAUAAGAAUUGCAGGAGCAAUUGUUCUAACUCUAUAUAUAAAUUUAUUACCAGCAAAAUUGUUUGGUAGUGACGAUGCUACCUCUUUAAUAAGCACCUCUUCUCUAGCCCGCGAUAAAAACUACCAUGCCCAUCCGUUAACAUGAUCUGGGACUUAUCGAAGUGACUUGCAGUGGUAGUUCGUUGCUGCCAUUUUCCGAGAGGUUCAUUCCAGAGCGUAUGUGAUAUGGCAGUCAUUCCGAUCAGCUUGAUCCGAUGGUCCGAAAUUCAUGAUCCCAUAUACCCUUCAAUGCUAAACAGUGAGACGGUGUAGAAAGUUCAUCUUUUGCAUUUGUAGAGGUAGAUAUAUUAAUUUUUUUGAGCGGAAAACUUACUAGAUUGGAGAUAUUUAGAGAACUAUUUUCAAAUUGUGACGUUGAAGGUAGAAGAUAGUAUUUAUUCGGAAAAGUUAUCACCUCUAAUUCCACAAUGUUUUUAGAGAGAGAAAUGCUAAAGAGACUCUCUCAAAGUAGGACUUUUUGCCACCUCAUAUUUUUUGCACAAUGUUUUAUAAUGUUAGUACGGGAAUUGUGCCAAAAUUAUGAGGUAAUAGAGAGUACAUGUAGAGUCUCACUUUUGAGAGUCUUUUUAGUAUUCUGAGAAAGGGACUUCCUCUCAGUCUCGACGUACGCAACGCAGCCUUAGAAAUGCAAAAGCAUGCAUGAUAUUGUUUCAACGUUGCAACCUUCCUCUUCCGCUUAUACAUCAAACCUAAUGAGGCAAAGAAGUGUAUCGGCUCUGGUGCAUUGACUUUUACCAUUCUCCGAACUUCAACUUCAAAUGUGGCAAUGUCAGACACUACAAGAAUUUCACAGGAUACAGCGUGGGCAUUGUGAAGGCAUUUCCUCCACGGAUCGCGAUCCAGAGUUGGCAUUGUGAAGGCAUUUCUAUUAAGGACAAUUCUCUUGUAAAAGAUAAAACUUAGUCUUGAUUAAUUCUGUUGUAAUCUGUUGAUAGUGGUGUGAUUAGUUAGGCUUAGUUUUUUAUGUAGUUAGGAUGAGUUGGCAGCACAAGUGUGUGCGCGCUAUGCCAUUGUAUAAAUACCAAGUGUAAGCUUAUUAUUUGAUAUAUAUGAAAAGAUAUUUUCUCAAUAAUUUCCUUCACGUCGGUCCUUCUUAACCCAAUUUUUGUUUUAAUUCCCAUCGACGAUUUGUUAAAAUCCUCAAUGUUUUCAUUACCGUCUACUUCAGUAGUUAGAAAAACUGAAAUUUUGAUAUUACCUUUGAAACUAUAUUUUCCUCUACUAAAACUCAUCUUUUUUUGUUUUCUUGAAUAAAACCCAUUGACUAGCCUCCAACUAAACAAAUUCUUUAAUUAAGUUUGACUUUUUAAAUUGUGUAUUUUCCGAAUGCCUAAACUAUCUGUCACAGCUCGUCCCGAGAUUUUCUUAUUAAGGACAUGAAAUGUCGGAUUUGACCUUAGCGCGGGCUAAGGUAAGUGUGUGUGACAUUAUUUGGAUUAUUUCUAUAUAAGUUUUGGAUUUAAAUUUUAGUUUUAUAAAAUUUUGGUUAGGGAAUUAGAUGAUGGAGGGUGAGGAUUUAAUGUUGGACCAUCUAAACCCCUGCACUCUCUCUCUUCUCGUGCACUCUCUCUCUCUCCUCCCUCACGGCUUCCUCUCUCUCUCUCUCACUCCCGAAGUGUACGGACGAGACCCAAAACCAUCCAAAACUCAGUGGAUCGAAGCAACCAAGGUAAGAUUCUUCAUCCUUGUGAUGCUCUGAGUUGUUUGAUGCUAGUUUUAGGACGUGGAACCUUCGAUAUCACGUGAACCCGAACCCCUCAUUUUUUGUCACUGUUCAUGCACACGUGAAAUGUUGUGUUUCAGGGAAUUCUAAGCUUAUAGUGAGCUUAGUGAUGUCCCAAGGAAGCUCGGAGUGCUUCGUUUGAAGGUUUUGGACGUCGGGAUCACUAGGUUCGAUUUUGGCCGGUUUUUCUUGGAAUUUUCCGGUGAGAUUUAGUUGUUUUUGGAGCUUAAAAGUAGUGUAUCGUGAUUUUACAUGUUUGGGGCUUCAUUUUGAUAUAAAAUACGAAGAAAAUGGGUGAGAAACGAAGGAGAACAAGGAGUUUCAAAGUUGGCCGGAAAUCGGCCGCCGGAAAGUUCAGUCCGGCGAGCCAAGGUUAGGGAUGAUGCGCGUGGGGGCGCGUGUCCCCGUGCCUGUCCCGGAGCGUGCGGCCUCCAAAAAUUUAUCUAAAAAUUUCUCGACGUCCGUGACGUCGAGUAGGUCGAUGUGGUAUAUUCAUAUACCCAAAUUGAGCAUCGUAUGAGAAGUUAUUUCGAAUUGUUGGUUAUGUGUUUAAAUUAACGUUUUUAUAGUUGUUUCGCAUAUAGGUGACACCUAUCCCGAGGACGAGCGCAUCCAGGGACGUCACGGGGGUUACGACCCAUCGACUUACCAGUGAGUGGGCAGUUUUGUUUUCGUAUUACCUAUAUAGUACUGUUUUUCCCAGGAAAUGCGUUUAUUUGAAAAUUAUGAUUUAAAUUGCCAUGCAUGCAAUUGUUGAGAUAUUUGGUUUGAUAAGUGAUGCGUUUAUAUGUGAAUUGACGCGGUGGACGCACAUGUGAGUUUUUAUAUUAUUUAGAUGAGUUAUUUUAUGUGAAUUGCAUUGAAAGCUCAUAACCUGCACCCUAGGUGUUAGUGCUUAUAUUAUUAUUCACCACACAACACGCUCGUCUUGGAUCCAAGUAGGUGGAUGUCGUACAGACCAUGUGAGGGUUCCGACAUGCUAGUCGUAUAGACCACUAGAUCUGAUUCCGACUAGUGGGUGACCUUAGUUAUGUUCGCCGAUGAUUGAUGAGAGAAGCACUAGAGCGUAUUUAUACACCUUUCAUCGUACAGACUACCAUAUGUAGUUCCGAGUGACGUGCAGAGUUGGGCCGUAUAGGUCACUGUGGUGACUCCGGCUGAGUGAGAUGUUGAGCUUUAGAAUCAGCCUUACAGGACCACUGUAGGGUCUCCGGUUGAUUUAUUAUUUCACCUGAUUGAUAUUGAUGCAUUCUGAUUAUAUUUUGGCAUGGCAUGACAUAUCCUUUCUGAGAUGUUAUGUUGAUGGAUGUGAGCUGAGUUUUGAUGAUAUAUAUAUAUAUAUAUAUAUAUAUAUAUAUACACACACUAUUUUCUAGGAAAGUAUACAGGUUUUACGGUGAGGGGUUAGAAAUGUUUUAAAUGAAAUGUUUUGGAAAAUCUUUGGUUUUACUGACCCACUCAUCUUUGUUUUGCGCUCCUCUAGGUUCUAGUUAGCAGUUGGUGGCUCUCGAGGUCUUUUUCGGCAUUCUGACAUACGCUCUACAUGUAGGACUCACCUGCGGGUGUUGUACUUUUUAUUAUGGUCCUACUUGACUGCACUUAGACCUAUGCUCUGAAUUUAUGUGUUUUACCUUAUAACUCAUCCUUUUAUUCUAGUAGGUUGUUACUACUAGAGAUUGGUUUAAAUUCCUUAUUAUUUCUGUUAUUGAUUUGCUUCCGUGUCGCACUUUUGGUUACGUCACACUCACGUGACGGCCAGCACGCCUUGAUCCUCUGGAUCGGGGUGUGUCAGUUUGGUAUCAGAGCCUAGGUUGCAGUCCUGUAUAAUUGUUAAUGCUUUAAUGAUCUUUUGAUGUUUUCUGUCAGAAUUAUGCCGCCUCAUAGAGAGCGUAGGGAGUCCCGCCGUACUCCUGAACCUAAUUUCCCGGAUAUCACUCAGUUGGGGGAAACAAUGGCUCAGGCUUUUCAGAAUGUAAUUCGUCCUCCUCCCCCUCCUCAGAGGACACCCUUGGAGACCAUGUACAAUCUGAAAUUAGAUCGUUUUAUGGGUGAUGAGGGUCACGAGGAGGCAGAGAAAUGGCUAGAUCAUAUUGAAAAGACGUUUCAGGUGAUGCAAAGUCAGGGGAACUUUCCGGCUGAUAGGUGGGUUGAGACCACUACCUGGUUUUUGGGUCGAGAGCUGGCAGGUUGGUGGAGGAAUCAGACGCAUUUUAUGUCCCCAGCUAUGGCAUCUGAUUGGGAGGUAUUUGAAGAUAAUUUCAAGAAAAGAUUUGUCCCUCCAGAGUAUAUUGAUCGUAAGAAACAGGAAUUUACUCGGUUGAAACAGAGGAAUAUGACAGCUCAUGAGUACUAUAGAAAGUUUACUGAUUUGUCUCGCUAUGACCCUGAUACAGCUGGUAAUCAGGGAGAGAUGCUUCGACGUUUCAAGUUAGGAACUAAGAGAAAGUGGCGGACUUUUGCCAGUGCACUUCCCUGCGCCGAUUACCAUGAGUUUUUCGAGAUUUUGGUUAGGAUGGAGGACUCUGAUAACCUUCCCAGUGAUAGUGAGGAUGACGAGGACAAGAAUGAUGGUCAGAAGAAGGAUGAUAAAGGUAAGGUUAUCUCUAUUCCGGAACCUCGCAAGACGCAGAAUUUUAAGAAGAGUGGAGCGAGUUCGAGUUCUUCUAGUGGUGGAUAUAGUAUUACUGGCCUGAUGAGAGGUGGUGGAAGAUUUUCUGGUGGGCCCAGAUUUCAAAGGCAGAGGGAUUCUGGUGGGGCUGUUGGUUCUGGCGCUCCGUGGUGCCGCCGUUGUAAUUUUUGUCAUCAUGGUGAGUGCAGAAGAGGUGGUGGUGCUUGUUUUACUUGUGGGCAAAUGAGACAUCGGGCUUCUCAGUGUCCCCAGGGUCAGCAGAGACCACAGCAGACCACUAUGCCACCUCCAGCGCCGAUUCAGCAGAGCUUUGGACCAGGCAGUUAUGGCCAGUCGGGUCAUGGUGGUGCCUACCAUUACCAGGGGGAUGCUGCUCCGUAUGCUCCCAGAGACCUUAUUAGUAUCCCCAGGAGCCUUAUCCUCAGACGGGGUAUUCCCAGGACUUUGGGGGUUAUUCUUCUUAUUCAUCCAUGCCAGCUGGUGGAUCUCAGUGGCAUCAGGGAGGUCAGCCUUGUCAGGGGGAAGUUGCUGUUGGUGGUGCAGGAUCAUCUAGGUCGUCCAAUCAGCCAGGCCAGGGACGUACUUCUCAUAGGCGAGGUAAUCAAGGCGUGCUAGCCGUCACGUGAGCGUGACGUAACCAAAAGUGCGACACGGAAGCAAAUCAAUAACAGAAAUAAGAAGGAAUUUAAACCAAUCUCUAGUAGUAACAACCUACUAGAAUAAAAGGAUGAGUUAUAAGGUAAAACACAUAAAUUCAGAGCAUAGGUCUAAGUGCAGUCAAGUAGGACCAUAAUAAAAAGUACAACACCCGCAGGUGAGUCCUACAUGUAGAGCGUAUGUCAGAAUGCCGAAAAAGACCUCGAGAGCCACCAACUGCUAACUAGAACCUGGAGGGGUGCAAAACAAAGAUGAGUGGGUCAGUAAAACCAAAGAUUUUCCAAAACAUUUCAUUUAAGACAUUUCUAACCCCUCACCGUAAAACCUGUAUACUUUCCCAGAAAAUAGUAUAUAGACAUAUAUAUAUAUAUAUCAUCAAACUCAGCUCACAUCCAUCAACAUAACAUCUCAGAAAGGAUAUGCCAUGCCAUGCCAAAAUAUAAUCAGAAUGCAUCAAUAUCAAUCAGGUGAAAUAAUAAAUCAACCGGAGACCCUACAGUGGUCCUGUACGGCUGAUUCUAAAGCUCAACAUCCCACUUAGCUGGAGUCACCACAGUGACCUAUACGGCCCAACUUUGCACGUCACUCGGAACUACAUAUGGUAGUCUGUACGAUGAAAGGUGUAUAAAUACGCUCUAGUGCUUCUCUCAUCAAUCAUCGGCGCGCAUAACUAAGGUCACUCACUAGUCGGAAUCACAUCUAGUGGUCUAUACGACUAGCAUGUCGGAACCCUCACAUGGUCUGUACGACAUCCACCUACUAGAUCCAAGACGAGCGUGCGGUGUGGUGAAUAAUAAUAUAAGCACUAACACCUAGGGUGCAGGUUAUGAGCUUUCAAUGCAAUUCACAUAAAAUAAUCCAUCUAAAUAAUAUAAAAACUCACCUGUGCGUCCACCGCGUCAAUUCACAUAUAAACGCAUCACUUAUCAAACCAAAUAUCUCAACAAUUGCAUGCAUGGCAAUUUAAAUCAUAAUUUGCAAAUACGCAUUUCCUAGGAAAAAUAGUAGUAUAUAGGUAAUACGAAAACAAAACUGCCCACUCACUGGUAAGUCGAUGGGUCGUAACCCCCGUGACGUCCCUGGAUGUGCUCGUCCUCGGGAUAGGUGUCACCUAUAUGCGAAACAACUAUAAAAAUGUUAAUUUAAACACAUAACCAACAAUUCGAAAUAACUUCUCAUACGAUGCUCAAUUUAGGUAUAUGAAUAUACCACAUCGACCUACUCGACGUCAUGGACGUCGAGAAAUUGUUAGAUAAAUUUUUGGAGGCCGCACGCGCCCCCACGUGUUAGGAUAGGCACGGGGACACGCGCCCCCACGCGCAUCAUCCCUAACCUUGGCUCGCCGGACUGAACUUUCCGGCGGCUGGUUUCCGGCCAACUUUGAAACUCCUUGUUCUCCUUCGUUUCUCACCCAUUUUCUUCGUAUUUUAUAUCAAAAUGAAGCCCCAAACAUGUAGAAUCACGAUACACUACUUUUAAGCUCCAAAAACAACUAAAUCUCACCGGAAAAUUCCAAGCAAAACCGGCCAAAAUCGAACCUAGUGAUCCCGACGUCCAAAACCUUCAAACGAAGCACUCCGAGCUUCCUUGGGACCUCACUAAGCUCACUAUAAGCUUAGAAUUCCCUGAAACACAACAUUUCACGUGUGCAUGAACAGUGACAAAAAAUGAAGGGUUCGGGUUCACGUGAUAUCGAAGGUUCCACGUCCUAAAACUAGCAUAAAACAACUCAGAGCAUCACAAGGAUGAAGAAUCUUACCUUGGUUGCUUCGACCCAUUGAGUUUUGGAUGGUUUUGGGUCUUGUCCGUACACUUUGGGAGUGAGAGAGAGAGAGAGAGAGGAAGCCGUGAGGGAGGAGAGAGAGAGAGUGCUACGGGAAGAGAGAGAGGGCAGGGGUUUAGAUGGUCCAACAUCAAAUCCUCACCCUCCAUCAUCUAAUUCCCUAACCAAAAUUUUAUAAAACUAAAAUUUAAAUCCAAAACUUAUAUAGAAAUAAUCCAAAUAAUGUCACACACACUUACCUUAGCCCAUGCUAAGGUCAAAUCCGACAUUUCACGUCCUUAAUAAGAAAAUCUCGGGACUGGCUGUGACACUAUCCCUAUUAAUACUUGGAUGGGGUUUUUGGACCAGUUACUUGUUAUAUCCAUUUAAUUAAUUUUAUAUAUUUUACAAAAUAAUUUAUGCCAUUCAUUGUAUAUUCAAUGUUAGCCGACCCCACUUAGUGGGAAAAGGCUUUGUUGUUGUUGUAUUGUAUAUUCAAUGUAUUAACUUUCAAAUUGUUAUAACGUGCCAAUUGAAUAAUAAUAAUACUAAUUUCAUAAUUUUGUGCAAUAAAUAUAUAAGUUAAUUUACCUACCAACACAACAAUAAAUCUAAAACAGCUUCGGCUAAUACUCCAAUCUCUAAUACACAAAACAAAAGCUAUAUGUUCCACACAAUUUUUACUUACAAAAUAGUCUAAUUUACCUACUCCAUCAAACCAAAAUUUAAAGGUCUAAUUUACUUCCAAAAUGGUCUAAUUUACCCACAUGAUUUAUGUGCAUUAGAUUAAAAGUUUAUUUAAUUGCCUACAAGCACAAACCCACAACAUUCGAACAUUAUCUAAUCACUAAUUUUUUAUUUUUUUUGAAUAGGUAAAUUAAUUUCAAUGUAGGUAAAUUAGUAUAAUAUUAAUAAGUAGGUAAGUUAAUUUAAAUGUAGGUAAAUUAGUAUAAUAUUUUAUAAGUAGGUAAAUUAGUAUAAUAUUUGUAUGUAGGUAAUUACAUGAUUCAAAAUGCAGGUAAAUUAGUAUAAUAUUUUUUAAGUAGGUAAAUUAAUUUGUUUGUAGGUAAUUACAUGAUUCAAACAAUAUUAUUUUUUGCAUACAAGAUAUGUCUUUUUUUUUUUUAAUUCGGUAAAUUAAUUUAUUUAUGUUGCUAAUAUUUAUGACACAAGAAAGGUAAAAUAUCCAUAUGGAUUUAAUUGCUCAUCAUAAUUAGGGUGAGUAAUAACAUUUAUUGACCAAAUUAGGAUUUUGUGGCAUAAGUUGCAAAUGAAUUGUAAUAGUUAGUUAUAUAUUUGUCUACAUGGUAGGUUAUUUGAAAUUUAGGUUUUAUUUGAAUGUUUAAAUUUAGUUGGGUUUUUAUUUGAAAAAUAGAAGUUUCAAGGGUCUAUAUCUAAAAAAAUCUUUAGAAAAAAUAAAGAAAUAUCAGUGUUUCUCAACUGCCAGUGUCUACUUAAGACGGAAAAUAAUUGUUCUUCUUCUUCCUACUCCUCACCAUUACAGAUCAUUGAUAAAAUCAUCAAAAAAAAAAAAAAAGAAAGGAUGGGAUUUGAGAAAGAGCAUAUAGUAAUGCUGCCAUUCAUGGCUCAAGGCCAUAUCAUACCAUUCCUAUCACUUGCAAAGCAAAUCCAGCAGUCAACAAACUUCUCAAUCACCAUCGCCACCACCCCUCUCAACAUCAAAUCCCUCCAAUCCACCAUUUCCUCCGCCUCAUCCAAUCACAACAACAUCCACUUGGCCGAACUUCCCUUCUGCAGCUCAGACCACGACCUCCCCCCUAACACAGAGACCACAGAGAACCUCCCCCUCUCCAAAAUGAUCAACUUUUUAGUCGCCUCACUCAGCCUCGAACCUCCUGCUCGACGCCUUAUCACUGAUAUCAUCAAAAGGGAAGGCCGCCCGCCGCUCUGUUUGAUCUCGGACGUAUUCUUCGGAUGGGCUACCGAUCUUGCAAACAGCUUAGGCACUGUCAAUGUGAGUUUCACCACAGGCGGGGCUUACGGCACUGCAGCCUACACAUCAAUCUGGCUCAACCUCCCUCAUCGCUCCGCAAGCAGCGAAUACUUCACCGUCCCCGGCUUCCCGGAACACGGCAGGUUCCACAUCUCUCAGCUGAAUCCGUUUGUAAGAGCUGCAGACGGUACAGAAUCUUGGUCAAAAUUUUUCCAGCCCCAGAUUUCGGGUUCUACAAAAUCAUUUGGUUGGCUGUGUAAUACUGUGGAGGAAAUUGAGCCGUUGGGAUUGGAUAUCUUGAGGGAUAACUUGAAGCUUCCGGUUUGGUGCAUUGGUCCUCUAGUACCUAAUGAUGCACUCAAAAACUCAUCCGCAUUGGACUUAAAGGUCUCGAGGCAGCGCACCGGAAAAGAAAUGGGCUUUUCCGCAGAGAAAUGCCUCGAGUGGCUUGACUCGCAAGGUUCGAAUUCUGUAAUUUACAUCUCAUUUGGUUCUCAGAACACAAUCAGUGCAACCCAAAUGAUGGAAUUGGCUGUUGGGUUGGAAGAAAGCGGAAAACCUUUCGUUUGGGUGAUAAGGCCUCCGGUGGGGUUUGAUCUGAAGGGAGAGUUCAAAGCAGAGUGGCUGCCUAACGGGUUUGAGGAAAGAAUGAGUAAACGAAAACAGGGGUUGCUAGUGCACAACUGGGCACCCCAGUUGGAGAUUUUAUCACACAAAUCCACUGGCUUUUUUGUGAGCCAUUGCGGGUGGAAUUCAGUGAUGGAGAGCUUGAGCCAGGGCGUGCCGAUUGUUGGGUGGCCGUUGGCGGGGGAGCAGGCUUAUAAUUCGAAGAUGUUGGUGGAGGAGAUGGGUGUGAGUGUGGAGCUGACAAGGGGUGUGCAGAGUAAUAUUGGAUGGAAGGAGGUGAAGGAGGUGAUUGAUCUGGUGAUGGACGAGAGUGGGAACGGAGGGGAGAUGAGGAAAAAUGCAGGUGAGAUUAAGAAGAAGAUAAGAGGAUCAAUUAGAGAUAAUGAUGGUGAUCAAGGAAAGGAGAAGGGGUCUUCUGUUAAGUCAAUGGAGGAUUUUGUGGCUGCUCUUUUAUCAAAGAAACAAGAUUUGGCAAAAAUCAAUUAGAGAUGUAAUUUAUUAAUUAAUUAGUUUUUGCGUUGAAAUUUAAAGAAUAAUAUUGUCGCUUUCAAGUCAAUUGAGAGCUGAUGAUACUUGAGUAUUGACUAGUGAGUACUUAUUUCUAAUUUUGUUGAAUGAUAUUAUAAUACAUAUGCUAUUUAAAAAAAAAUGAAAUAAUGGAUAUGUCAUUUGAUCUUUCUUAGACUAUAAAAACAAAUAAUACGUUUUUUUAUUGGGCUAAAGCGGAAAUGGCCUUAAAAUUUAUAAGGGACCGUUGUACUACCAGUCAAUUGAAUGAGCUUAAAGCUCCAUAUUCUUGGUGGCAAGUGCUGCUCAAUGGUUCUCUCCCAAAGCGAAAAUGCUUGAAAAUGUUCUCGAAAGCCAAGGGAGUAGGAGCUUACCUCGUUUGAUUAUGCACUGGUGGAACCUAUACUUUACAAUAGGAAGGUGGAUUGAAUGCUCCUGGAAAGAUAAGAAUCGAUGCAACUGAGUAGCUAAAUCUAGUAAAACGCUCCAACUCAAACGAGAGGGAUACAUAAAAUAUACACUAGUAAGUACCGAAGUAUUAUCCUUUAAGAAAUUUAUAUGUUUGCGAAGCGAUAGGUUUUGUUUCAAAAUAUGUUAGGCUGUGGGGAUGACAUCCAAAGUCCAAAAAAGCCUGCACCUGGCUAAGAGGGUAGGGUUGAAACUUGGAACAAAUGCCCUCAUUACGCUUUCAUGUGCAUGCUGCAUGUCAACUUGUGAAAAUUGAAGCUAUAUGAAUUAAAGUGGAAAUUUAUUCAACCUAUUAGAAUAACCUUAGGUGCUCUUCAUAUCAUCCUCUUGAUUAGCCACUCCAUCACUGCCACAGUAUCCUAUUAGAAUAGUGUAUUCCAGCUAAUUGCCCCCUUUUUUUUCCACCAGAACUGUGUGAGCAAUCGUCCUUGGUCUUUAUAUAAAUUUACUAGCAGUUUAAAGCAAGACAUAUGUUUGGCAGUGACGAUGUUACCUCAUUAAUAAGCACCUCUUUUCUAGCUAUCCGGCGGUUAAAACUACUCUGCCCAUCCAUUAACACGAUCUGAGACUUUUCGAAGUGACUUGCUCCGAUAGUUCGUUGCCGUCAAUUCACUUCACAUCGAGAGGUUCGCUCCGGAGCUUAUGAGAUAUCAGUCAUUCCGACCAGCUCGAUCUUGUGGUCCGAAAUUCAUGGUUCCAUGAUACCCUUAAAUGCUAAAUAAUGAGACGGUAUAGAAAGUUCAUUUCUUGCUUUUGUAGAAGUAGAUAUAUUAAUUUUUUAAGGGGAACAACUUACUAGAUUCAAGACAUUUAGAGAAAUAGUUUCAAAUUGUGACGCUGAAGGUAGAAGAUGAAGUAUUCAUUUCGAGAAGUUGUCACCUAUAAUUCUACAAUGUUUUUGGAGACAGAAAUGCUAAGGAGACUCUUUUAAAGUGAGACUUUUUAUGAACUCUCCACCACCUCAUAUUUUUUGGUACAAUGUUUUGUAAUGUUGGUACGGGAAUAUUGAUACAUAACCUGAGAAAUGCAAAAUGUUUCAAAUUGUAACGUACGCUACGCAACCUGAGAAAUGCAAAAGCAUGCAUAAUAUUGAUGCAUAACUGAACUACAAACCAUAAGGGAAAAAAAACAAGAGGAAGAAACAAAAUACAUAAUUUGUUUCAACGUGACAUCCUCUUUUGUUUAUACAACAAACCUAAUUAGGCAACCUCUUUUGUUUAUACAACAAACCUAAUUAGGCAAAGAAAUGUAUCGGGUCGGGUGAUGCAUUGGCUUUUAGUAUUCUCCAAACUCCAACUUCAAAUGUGGCAAUGUCGGUAACCAUCAGAAUUUCACAGAAUACAGAGUUGGCACCGACGAUUUGUUAAAAUCCUCAAAUUUGUCACUACUCUCUACUUAGUAGUAUGAAAAAUUAAAGAAAUGACAAUUUUUUUCAAAUGCCAAUGUAAUUGAUAAAAAAGUUGAAGUACCCAGUAGUCCGGACUAUCAAAGACUAUCAAAGACUGGAAAAUAAUUAUUCUUCUUCUCCCUCUUUCUCACCAUUAUAGGUCAUUCAAAAAAUUAUCAGAAAAAAAAGGGGGAUUUGAGAAAGAGCAUAUAGUAAUGCUGCCAUUUAUGGCUCAAGGCCAUAUCAUACCAUUCCUAUCACUUGCAAAGCACAUCCAACAGUCAACAAACUUCUCAAUCACCAUCGCCACCACCCCUCUCAACAUCAAAUCCCUCCAAUCCACCAUUUCCUUUCCUCAUCCAAUCACAACAUCCACUUGGCCGAACUUCCGUUCUGCAGCUCAGACCACGACCUCCCCCCUAACACAGAAACCACAGAGAACCUCCCCCUCUCCAAAAUGAUCAACCCUCCUUUAGCCGCCUCACUCAGCCUCGAACCUCCUGCUCGCCGCCUUAUCACCAAUAUCAUCAAAAGGGAAGGCCGCUCGCUGCCCGCCGCUCUGUUUGAUCUCUGACGUGUUCUUCGGAUGGGCUACCGAUCUUGCGAAUAGCUUAGGCACUGUCAAUGUGAGUUUCAACACAAGUGACGGCUUUGCAGCCUACACAUCAGUCUGGCUCAACCUGCCUCACCGCUCCGCAAGCAACGAAUACUUCACCGUCCCCGGCUUCCCGGAACACUGCAGGUUCCACAUCUCUCAGCUGAGUUCGUUUGUAAGAGCUGCAGACGGUACAGACUCUUGGUCAAGAUUUUUCCAGUCCCAGAUUUCGCUUUCUACAAAAUCUUUUGGUUGCCUGUGUAAUACCGUGGAGGAAAUUUAGCCGUUGGGAUUGGAUAUCUUGAGGGAUAACUUGAAGGUUCAAGUUGGUGCGUUGGUCCUCUAAUUCCUACUGAUGCACUAAAAAACUCAUCCAUAUUGGACUUAAAGGUCUCGAGGCAGCGCGCGGGGAAAGCCUUUUCCGCAAAGAAAUGCCUCGACUGGCUUGACUCGCAAGGUUCGUGUUCUGUCAUUUAUAUCUCAUUUGGUUCUCAGAACACUAUCAAGGCAACCCAAAUGAUGGAAUUGGCUGUUGGGUUGGAAGAAAGCGGGAAGCCUUUCGUUUGGGUGAUAAGGCCUCCGGUGGGGUUUGAUCUAAAGGGUGAGUUCAGAGCAGAGUGGCUGCCGCACGGGUUUGAGGAAAGAAUGAGUAAACGAAAACAGGGGUUGCUAGUGCACAACUGGGCACCCCAGUUGGAGAUUUUGUCACACAAAUCCACAGG
rnacentral:lncRNA from 1 species